AGAGUUUGAUCCUGGCUCAGAACGAACGCUGGCGGCAGGCCUAACACAUGCAAGUCGAACGGGGACCUUCGGGUCUUACGUGGCGCACGGGUGAGUAACGCGUGGGAAUCUACCCCAAAGUCAGGGAUAACCGCUGGAAACGGCGGCUAAUACCGGAUACGCCCUGCGGGGCAAAGCUUUUGCGCUUUGGGAGGAGCCCGCGUCCGAUUAGCUAGUUGGUGGGGUAAAGGCCUACCAAGGCUGCGAUCGGUAGCUGGUCUGAGAGGAUGAUCAGCCACACUGGGACUGAGACACGGCCCAGACUCCUACGGGAGGCAGCAGUGGGGAAUCUUGGACAAUGGGGGCAACCCUGAUCCAGCCAUGCCGCGUGGGUGAAGAAGGCCUUAGGGUUGUAAAGCCCUUUCGGCGGGGAAGAUGAUGACGGUACCCGCAGAAGAAGCCCCGGCUAACUCCGUGCCAGCAGCCGCGGUAAUACGGAGGGGGCUAGCGUUGUUCGGAAUCACUGGGCGUAAAGGGCGCGUAGGCGGACCACCAAGUCAGGGGUGAAAGCCCUGGGCUCAACCUAGGAAGUGCCCUUGAAACUGAUGGUCUUGAGUCCGGGAGAGGAGAGCGGAAUUCCCAGUGUAGAGGUGAAAUUCGUA
rnacentral:rRNA from 1 species